GCGCACGCGCGGGCGGAGCCGGGCCCGCGAGCCCUCGGAAGAGGCGGGCGCGAGUCCCGUUACCCACAGGAACAACGCCCGCGGCAGCCGCAGCGCCAGCAGAGCCUCCUUAAUGGCUGGGUAAAGCUCACGCCCCUUGCUGAAAUCAGCUA